rnacentral:rRNA from 1 species
UCGAGAAUAAUUCGCAAUGGACGAAAGUCUGACGAUGCGACGCCGUGUGAACGAUGAAGGCCUUCGGGUUGUAAAGUUCUGUCGCCUAGGAACAAGGCUAAGGAAAGAAUAUUUCUUUAGUUUGAGUGUACUAGGAAAGGAAGCACCGGCUAACUCCGUGCCAGCAGCUGCGGUAAUACGGAGGGUGCAAGCGUUAGUCGGAAUUACUGGGCGUAAAGGGUGCGUAGGCGGGGAUAUAAGUCAGAUGUGAAAUACUGAAGCUCAACUUCAGCUGUGCAUCUGAAACUGUGUUUCUAGAGGAAGAGCGGAGAAAACGGAAUUCCACGUGUAGCGGUGAAAUGCGUAGAUAUGUGGAAGAACACCAGUGGCGAAGGCGGUUUUCUAGCUUACUCCUGACGCUGAGGCACGAAAGCAAGGGGAGCAAACAGGAUUAGAUACCCCCGUAGUCC